UUAUAAAAAAAAGUAUAAAAAAUAAAUAAAGUAAAAUUAGACCAUUUAUCAUUGGGAUUUUACAAUAAUAUUGCUUAUAUAAUAACGUCUCAUACGCUAUAGUUACAUUACGAGAUUGAACUGUGAAAGAGUGACAAAGAAAGCGAUCAAACAAAGUGUUUAGUAUCAUACAUACAUAAACUCACGCCUAUUUCCCACCGAGAAGCGACUGCCUGUCUGACCUCCUAACCCGAAGGAAAACCAAUCUAAAACACAACAUAAUAAAUAAGAAAAUAAAAUGACGAAGUAUUUGAUAUUGUUAAUAACAUUCAAUAUAGUGUUUAAUACAAAAGCUAUACCUGUCAAAUAUAUACAGAACUAUAAUAUACAAGGUACAGAAAUUGAGAAUGAUGCAAUUGGAAUUCUGACUAACUUCGCUGAUGACGAAAGACAUUAUACAAAAGUCAAAAGACAUGCUUGGUUCGAUUCAAACAACAAGAACGUGUUAACAACAACAGCGUUACCAGCAACUAAAAAUAACAACGCAAUUAAACAUAACAAUCUUGGAAAUAACAUUGUUACUAAUCCAACUAGAGGUAACAAUAAACAGUUUAACAAUAACUUUAUAGACGCUGAAAGGAACGCAAAUAAACACCAAUAUAGCAAACCGAUUAAUAACCAUAACGGUCAAGACAGCAAGGUUUAUAUCUGUCGCAUAAAUAACAAGAAAAACGGAACUCAGAAAUCUACUUACGAUGCUAUGUACUACAGAUUUGUUAAAAACGUUGCCAACAACAAAUAUGUUAUAAAAAACAGCACAGUUAUUCAUGGAUAUUACAACGAUGUUACAGUCAAUAACAAAAACAACCCGGUCACGACUCGAAGUAACAAUAACACUGCAACUGGAAGUAACAAUUUGAUCAAAAAUAACAGUCAGUUGCAAACUGGGAAUAACAAUUUGAUCAGGAAUAACAACCCUGAGGUUAUAGAUGAAGUGAUCGUUAAGAAAUCGAAGACGGAAGACUGUAACAUUAUCACGGCCAACACUUGCCCAGACGGGUUUAUGCAAGACCCCAGCGGCACUAUGUGUGUCCCAGACUUUAGCACUAUUCAAAGUGACGAUUAUUAUGAAGCAUAAUAAAAGUUCAUCAUGCAUGCAUGUAUGUAAAUCUGUAUUCUAUAAAAUAAAGAAGAUUAAUAUACCCAUGUCAUA